UACGGAGGGUGCAAGCGUUGUUCGGAAUUAUUGGGCGUAAAGGGCAGGUAGGUGGUCUUACAAGUCUACUGUGAAAUCCCUGGGCUUAACCUAGGAAGUGCGGUGGAUACUGUAAGACUAGAGUGCCGGAGGGGUGCGCGGAAUUCCCAGUGUAGCGGUGAAAUGCGUAGAUAUUGGGAGGAACACCAGAGGCGAAGGCGGCGCACUAGACGGCAACUGACACUCAACUGCGAAAGCGUGGGGAGCAAACAGG
rnacentral:rRNA from 1 species